rnacentral:tRNA from 1 species
GUGGUUGUGGCUCAAUGGUAGAGCACUUGCUUAGCAUGUGUGAGGCACAGGGUUCCAUCCUCAGCACCACA